rnacentral:misc_RNA from 1 species
GAUGAAGAACGUAGCGAAAUGCGAUAAGUAAUGUGAAUUGCAGAAUUCAGUGAAUCAUCGAAUCUUUGAACGCACAUUGCGCCCGCCAGCAUUCUGGCGGGCAUGCCUGUUCGAGCGUCAUUUCAACCCUCGAGCCCCCCCGGGGGCCUCGGUGUUGGGGGACGGCACACCAGCCGCCCUCGAAAUGCAGUGGCGACCCCGCCGCAGCCUCCCCUGCGUAGUAGCACACACCUCGCACCGGAGCGCGGAGGCGGUCACGCCGUAAAACGCCCAACUUUCUUAGAGUUGACCUCGGAUCAGGUAGGAAUACCCGCUGAACUUAAGCAUAUCAAUAAGCGGAGGA